rnacentral:rRNA from 1 species
GACGAACGCUGGCGGCGUGCCUAAUACAUGCAAGUCGAACGCGGAGGGAGGUGCUUGCUUCUCCGGAUGAGUUGAAAGCGGGUGAAUAAGCCGUAGGGAACGUAACUGGUAGCGGGGACUAACUAUUGGAACCGGUAGGUAAUGGCGCAUAAGAGUGAAUGUUGCCUGACAUUGGCUUACAAUGUGCAAUUUCAUCACUAAGGGAAGGACCUGCGUUGUAGUAGCUAGUUGGUGGGGUAACGGCUUACAAAUGCGACGAUCCAUAGCCUACCUGAGAGGGUGUUCGGCCACAGUGGGACUGAGACACGGCCCAGACUCCUACGGGGGGCAGCAGUAGAGAAUCUUCGGCAACGGACGGAAGUCUGACCGAGCAACGCGGCGUGGGUGAAGAAAGUUUUCGGAUCGUGAAGCUCUGUUGUAAGGGAAGAACGAGUGUGAGAGUGGAAGAAGCACACUGUGCCGGUAUCUGAGCAGAAACAGAGGCCUAACUACUU